rnacentral:rRNA from 1 species
GCAAUGGACGGAAGUCUGACGCAGCGACGCCGCGUGGAUGACGAAGGCCUUCGGGUUGUAAAAUCCUUUUCCGGGCGAUGAGGAAGGACACUAGCCUGGGAAUAAGCGUCGGCUAACUACGUGCCAGCAGCCGCGGUAAGGACCUAGGACGCGUAGCGUUAUCCGGAUUGUACUGGGCGUAUCGCGCCUGCAGGCGGUCUGGUACGUCGGUUUGUGAGAGCCCCGUGCUCAACGCUGGGGAGGCCAAGCGAUACUGCGUUGACUCUGAGUGGCGGAAGAGGGGAGUGGAAUUCCCGGUGUAACGGUAAAAUGCGCAGAUAUCGGGAGGAACACCAGUGGCGAAGUCGGCUCCCUGGACCGCACCUGACGCUCAGAGGCGUCAGCUAGGGGAGCGAACAGGAUUAGAGACCCUGGUAGUCCUAGCCCUAUACGCUGGAUGAUAGGUAUAGGGCUGAUGAGGCUCUGUGCCGGAGCGAACGCGAUAAGCAUCCCGCCUGGGAAUUACGGCCGCAAGGCUAAAACUCAAACGUAUUGACGGGGACCCGUACAAGCAGCGGAGCAUGUGGUUUAAUUCGAUGUUACACGAAGAACCUUACCUGGGUUUGACAUGCUGGUGGUACCGAACCGAAAGGGGAGGGACCCAG